UAUGGAGGAUUCUCAACAGGAGGCUUGUAUACUGGUGGCUUCUCUACUGGUGGUUUGUAAACUGGCGGCUUCUCAACUGGGGGCUUGUAAAUUGGUGGCUUCUCAACUGGAGGCUUGUAAACUGGUGGCUUCUCAACUGGAGGCUUGUAAACUGGAGGUUUCUCAACUGGGGGCUUAUAAACCGGUGGCUUCUCUACUGGGGGCUUGUACACUGGUGGCUUGUAAACUGGGGGCUUGUACACCGGUGGCUUGUAAACUGGGGGCUUGUAAACCGGUGGCUUCUCAACUGGAGGCUUGUAAACUGGUGGCUUCUCUACGGGGGGCUUGUACACUGGUGGCUUCUCAACUGGUGGCUUGUAAACUGGUGGCUUUUCAACUGGGGGCUUGUAAACUGGUGGCUUCUCAACUGGGGGCUUGUACACAGGUGGCUUCUCAACUGGGGGCUUGUACACUGGUGGCUUCUCAACUGGGGGCUUGUACACCGGUGGCUUGUAAACCGGGGGCUUGUAAACUGGGGGCUUCUCCGCCGGGGGCUUGUAAACUGGGGGUUUCUCAACUGGGGGCUUGUACACUGGUGGCUUCUCCACCGGAGGUUUGUAAACAGGUGGCUUCUCAACUGGGGGCUUGUACACGGGUGGCUUCUCAACUGGAGGCUUGUACACCGGUGGCUUCUCUACUGGGGGCUUGUACACUGGUGGUUUCUCAACUGGGGGCUUGUAAACUGGGGGCUUCUCUACCGGGGGCUUGUAAACUGGGGGUUUCUCAACUGGGGGCUUGUACACUGGUGGCUUCUCCACCGGAGGUUUGUAAACUGGGGGCUUCUCAACCGGGGGUUUGUACACUGGUGGCUUCUCUACCGGAGGUUUGUAAACUGGGGGCUUCUCAACUGGGGGCUUGUACACUGGGGGUUUCUCAACAGGAGGUUUGUACACUGGAGGCUUCUCUACUGGGGGUUUGUACACUGGUGGUUUCUCCACUGGGGGCUUGUACACCGGUGGCUUUUCGACCGGGGGUUUGUAGACGGGUGGUUUCUCAACUGGGGGCUUGUAAAUAGGAGGAGUAUACUCAGGGGGUUUCUCAUAGUUGGCAAACCCUUGAGGGGUGAGAGCCAGAGCUACAAGGAGCAGCACUAGAGAGCGUAAGGUAGCCAUGUCACUCAUUUGAGUUGGAGUAAAACACACCAGCAUGAUCACCUUUUAUACUACUCAGGAGGGGCCCUUAACUUAGUGACUCGACUGAUAGGUAAGGAGCAGGUUCCAAUAUGAAGAUUUGGUACCCAAAUCAUGUAUACAAAGUCAAUAGUAGGUGUGGGGUUUUCAGCACUGGUAUAACUCAUUUUGUCCACAUAUGGUAGUCAAGUUGGAAAUUAUGUGUGAAACUAGACAAGAUCUGCAUUAUGCAAAUACUUUUCAAACUACCGACAUCUUAUGUAUCUCCUUGACGUGUUUUACAGCUUUCAUGCACAACUACUGAAGUUUAAUCAAUUUAAACAAAUAUUCCUACCGUUUGUUAUUCGAUCCUAUCUUCAUGAAAGGCAGAUUUUGGCCCACCAAGUUGAGGAUCGGAUUAAUUUAACUUUUGUAUAUACAUUGUUAGAAACUAAGGUCCAUCUAUGGAUCUGCAUGAACUAGCUGAAGUUAAAGCAUUUUGCAAUAUAUAAAUUAUACUUGUACAAUAAAAAUAAGGACAAUGUAUUUACAACCACCGACAGAUAAAUAUACCGUUUUCAAACCAUACAAUCAAUAUAAUCGCCACAAAAGUUAAAAAAAUUGAAGAUCAAUAUGAUAUUUGCAAUGUGAAACUAUCACCUGCAUCAUAGAUUCAUAGGCUUAUCAAAAAAAAAAAUAAUAAUAAUAAAUAAAAUCACCUGCAUCAUAGUUAACUUAUUUUUUAUAAACUUCACGAUUUAUGGCCAUUGAUUGAAUAGCUGGAAUAUGUGCACUAACAUUGUAAAAAAAACACGAUAUACAUGAUUGGCUAUUAAAAGAAAUAUAAUAGGCCUAUUUACCAAAAGCUGAUUUAUCUACAUGUUCUCAUUCAUCUGAACUGUGAUAUUGUUCUCAGUUGAUAACAGAAAAAAUGAGUUUGGCAUUACAGGAGUAAAAGCUGAGUAGGUUUUGUUGGACGGGGCUCUAUCUAGCAUUGAAGGGGACUUCGUUCUUUUUCGAGUCCGAGCGGUGGAGAUUAUACGAUGUGACUUGAUCUUCAUAAAUAUUCAUUGAUGAGCUGUUUGCUACUACUUAGCUUGCGUACGUAAAAGAUAUAGUAGUAGUUAGACUUUGAGGCUGCAUUUGUUUCAUUUGUUUAAAACUAUUCAUACAAGUUUUUUCAAGGUUAGAGCAUCUCAUUGGACUAUCAAAGAUUUCCGAUUUUUCUAUAUAUCUUGAAUAACAGAUGAUUAAUUACUCUUUUCUUGCAAUGGUAUAGAUAAAACAAAAUUGAUAGGAGUAGUUGAUGGAAAAUUUAAGAUUAUAUAAUGAUAAUGAAACUGAUCUAUAGAUAUAAAAUUAUAGCCUUUAAUAGUUUCUAUACAUAUAAUUAAUUAAAUCAUAAUAUUUAUGCACCUGAUAUAAGAAAAUAAUCUAUUUUUUUCUUGAGCAAAUACUAAUGCGUGUGAGAAAAAUUACUCUCUUUUCUCAUAAAUGCAUAGAGAGUUUAAAUUAACUGUCAAAUGAAUAUACUAAGGAUAAUGAUGGAGAGCACGAGGAUCUAAGCACGAUUGGAGCACGAGGCCGUUUCUGGCGGUUUUAAACCGCCAGAAAUGUGUAACGCUUGCUGUUUUCCCUGGCACAACAAACUUAGUGGCGGUUUAAAAUCGCCACUAACUGCUACUCGUGCACUUUCGUGUACCACAUCCUGUCGUACCAUAUAGCACUGCUAAUAUACUAAUUUAAAACUCAUCAGAUGAGAGCAAAAAUUUCUUAGUACUAAUGAUAAACAAAAAAACUCUCAACUCAUCACGAGUUUCUCAUUAGAAAAACUCAAUAAUAAUUCCAUUUUGGGUAUUUUAUGUUUGAAUUGGGUCUUUGCUGACUUAUUGAAAAAUAUAUUAAUAACUCUAAAAAUAUGUUUUUGAUUAAUUAAUAAAUACUAAUUCGCAUAAUAUAAAACUUUUUUCUAAACAUGAUUUUAUUUUUUGAUAGACAAAUGUUAGUUGUUAGAAAUGUUAGUAAAUCAAUCCCCCAUCCGGAUUCGAACUCGAACCCUUCACUUUUCAUCCCACCCAGCCUUUAUGUCUCUAAUUUUAAAAAUGAUGAUUGUAGGAGUACACCAACCCCUAGUACCCCUUAUUUAGGUUCCCACUAGGGUGGAAAGUUUUAAAAACGGUCCAUCGAUGGACCACCCUUAUCCACCGUUCAUUUUAUAAUUUUUAAAGGAUGCGGUAAAGAUCUGUUACCUUAGACUUGGCAAGCAAGUUUGGUUUAUGUUUUUGGAAGAAUUGGGAAAAAUUGCAUAAGGAACCCCUUUGUAGGACCCGGGUGUGUGACGUCACCGAUCUUUGUUCUCUCUCACCCUCCCCUCUCUCUUGCAGACCUAGAUCGAGUGAAGUGCGGCGUAGUCUUGGGAGAAGGGUGAUUGUUGAUUCGCUGGUGGGAGAAGGGUCUUCAGCCAAACAUGAGAGAGGUGACUUCCGAGACCUUGUUGACUCGCUUCGCAGGGGAUUAGCUUGUGAUUGUUGAUUUCUUCCCUCCUGGUUGUGGUGGAUGCAAAGCCCUUCAUCCUAAGGUAUUAUUCUUCUUCACCCUUGAGCUGAUUCAUUCAUAGAUCAAUCAACCUCCAUGAGUGUAUUCAUGGUUUUGCAUUGUUUGUAAUUGUUGAUUUUGUUUCUGAGGUCGUUUUGGUAUUGCAGAAUUGUCAACUGGCUGAGAUGAAUCCUGAUGUUCAGUUACUUCAUUUGAAUCAUGAGGAGCAUAAAUCUAUGUGUUAUAGCCUUAACGUUCAUGUUCUUCCCUUGUUCCGCUUUUAUAGAGGCGCUCAUGGUCGCUUAUGAAGCUUUAGCUGCACAAAUGCCACGGUUAGUUAUACAUACCAUGUCAAUUUUAUUAAAUUUAUACUAUGCAUUUAGAUGUGGUAGCAUAGCAAUGGUUGUUGUUUAGUUUAGGAGAUUUGACAUGAUUGGAAACUCUUUUACAAUUGAUUUUGAAGUUAGAAUCAAUUGGCAUGUUUGGAGAAGCUUCUGUGUGUAACUUAUGGGUUUCUGAAUUAAUCCUGAUGAAAGAAAAGCUGAUCCAAUCAUACUAGUAUGCUCAGUAGCUAUGCUUUUUAUUGGCAUCUGACUAAUUGUUCAUUACAAACCUGAAGAAUGCUUUCAACAUGAGACCAUUCGUUCAACAUUUUUCACACUAUUUGAAUGAUAUAUGUUUGGAAUGCAUGUGUUUCCUGUUGGGUUCUUCAUGUACUCUGUUGAAUCAUGGUAAUGAUAGAUUUAUUAUUGAUCAAGUUGUGCAUGUGUUAACUGAUGUGAAGUUAACUGAUGAAGUUUGAUUUCAAUUACAGAUCAAGAAGUUUAGAGAUGCAUUGGCCAAACACACUCCCGAUAGAUGCAGUUUGGGACCAACCAAAGGAUUAGAGGAGAAGGAGCUCCUAGCUCUUUCUGCCAACAAAGAGCUUUCUUUCACAUACUCGCCUUUGUAGCCUGCACAUGCCCCUGCAAGUGAAGAGUUUGCAACCGAAGCUGCUCCUGAGUCCCUCACUUUACCUUCAUUGACCUCCAAGUCGGAGUCCUCGGAACAGAGAACCCUGACCACUGCUGUUAUUAAUGAUGUGGCCAGUUUGUAAGCAAACACCAUCUUUUGAUUCCAUGUAUGUUUGGAUUUCCGAUGAACUCUACGCAAACGGGGGGAACAGAUCGCUUGAAAUCCCUUGUACAGAAUAGGUUCGGUGAAGUUCCUUCGAUUGGUAUACUUUUUCAGAAUGAAGGUAUCAUUGAAUAUCAAGUUACAAAGGGUGUAUUCCUCCAAGGCAAUUGGAUUUAUGUUUUAUUUGGAUUUAAUACUAGGCUAGAUAGUCGCUGUAGAAAUAUUAGUUUUGCCCUUUUUGUGUAUUUGAGGAAUCCCUCCCUACUGUAAUGUCAGUUUAUUUUCUAGUGGAUGAUCUCACUUGUAUUCUAUUUAUGAGGCAGCUAUAUAUAGUAACCUUUUUCUUCAUGGUAAAAUUGGGUUCCCAUAUGAGAGGUGUAAUUUUACUUCUGAGAUCACCGUUUGGUUUAAGAAAAUUGUGGUUAAGUAUGUUCUUAUACACUGGAAUACCCGUGCAAGCCGGGUUUUGUUGUAAAUUCUAAUUUUUUUUUUCCUUUGACAGAAGAAAAUGGAAUGAACUAUAUUUAUGAUCUCAUGGUUGGUUAUUGAAAGGAGAAUUGAAUGAGAAUUCAUAUGAAUGGAUGGAUGAAUGUCAAAAAAAUGAGAAUUCAUACGAAAAUGGAAUUCAUAUGCUUGUUUUCCUUUUUGUAUGAAUGGAUCUUGAUGUCAAAAAAAUAAAAUAAUUAUCUGAAUGGAUAUUGCUUUACUUGCAAAGUGAAGGAAUCUUAUAUCCAUUUCACCUGAAUUAGUGAAAUUAUUGGAGUGAAAUGCAGCCCACUUCAUUUGCUCCUCAUGUUUAGUAUUAAGCAAAACAUCAAAACACGUUGCUUUAUAAUUCCAGCCAGUUAUCACCUAAGGAAUUUAAGGUCAGUUCUGGGACAUCAAUACCAUUGGAAAUGGAUGGUCUGUGUUGGACCUAUGAUGCAUUAAGUGAAAAUGUAAUUGCAUACACCUUAGGUAGAAUGAAAAUCACAAAAUUUGCAAACACAUUACACAUGAAACUGAAACAUGUCAAACAUAAUUAGGUAGAAAUAGUAAGUGAUACAAGUAGGCCAUACAAGUAGGCCAUAACAGUAAGUGAUAACAAACAAUAUCUGAUACAAAUACACCCAUAUGUAGGCCAUAACAGUAGAGUAGAAUGCUUCCAUGCAUACUAGGGGGUAGUUCAAUAAAACAACAAGAACAUAAAAUGCAAAGUGACAUAAGCCGCUUAUGACAUGGUAGUCUAGUUUUUGUUCCUAAACAUAGAACUUAAUAAAAGUCUAAACGAUCUAGUUGCGCACAACACGCAGGAGCAGUUCAAGUUCAAGUGGGAGAAAGGUGAAAAUGAGCUUGUUUCCAGGGGACAUGUAUAGGUCCUUGCACAACUUAUACCACCCCGUAAUUAAAUGGGCCUCAUUCUUGUUUCUUUCAGCUCGAGUUAUGACACAAUCCGCAGCCAAGUUUGAAUUCAAUACCCUGACAUGUAAAGAUGUCAUUCCAUGAAGGUCGAGUUUGUGGACAACCUUUGCUGGUAAAUUCUGCAACAUUUAAAUGGAAAUUUAUCAUGAAAUGAGUAGGUGCAACAAGAUGUUGAGCUAUCAAAGUAAAGAAUCGUAAAAAUAAGAAAAGAUAUUGAGUCGAACUUGCCAAAGGUACUCUACCUCUCACAUAUUUGUCAGUUACAACCUUUUCCCAUUGAAUGUUUGGUUCACCGGCAGGCCCAGUAUCAGAAUCAGGAUCAGAAUCAGAAUCAGAGUCAAGGAUGAUUACCUCUGGGACAUUUUCAUUUCUUGGGUACUGAAUCUCAGGUCCAUGAUAAGCAAAAAUGCGGAUGUUAAAAGUAAGUGGGAGAAUAAACUCAAAGUUGAACAAUGCUCUCUCGGUCAAUGAGUAAAAAGCAACCAACUCACGGACUCCAUUGGUAAAUGCAGGUUUGCCAUUGUUUAAGCCUACUUUCACUUGCCUAGUAUUUCCAUUGGGGUUGACAACCAUAACCUCACGACCAUCAAUUAUGUGCUCCCAGUAUGAAUAAAACCUUGUACUUAUGGAGAUGAAAUCCUACAUUUAAACACGUUUUUUGUCAAAAGAUUGAUAAACAGGAUUUUAUGUUCAUUGUUUGAAAUAGAAAUAACAUUGGUUAACACUGUUGUAUGAUAAAGCUACGAAGAUAUAGGUUCCCACUAUGGAGUUGAAUCAUUGUAACCUAUUUGUAAGUGCAUGUGCAGGUAAUAUUUCGUUUAAAAAGGUCUAACGAAUUGCAGCACAAACCUAAUCACAAUCCUAAUUUGGUUGAAAACAAAAGUUUGAUGACAUACCUGUUCUGGUCUGAAGUACAUUCCGAAUCCUCUACGAAAAGAAUCGUCCCCGACUGCAUUUGGAGACCCCAUUUGAACAAGGUGGUGGUACUGCACAGAAAGGAAAAAAAUUCGAACCUUUAAUUUGGUAUUUGUGCUAGACGACAAAAAUGCAUGCACGGAAACGAGUACGGUUGGAGACAAAUCAGAUAAAGUACAGUUUUAUAAAGAAGAAGUGGACCAAAAUCACUAAAUCGCUACCACAAAUGGAAAUAAUGAACAAUAAAGGGUUUUCCUUUCAUGCAAGUAAGGUAAACUACCAGGUUCCAUGUACCAGAGCAAGGACCUUAUCUUUUUGUGUGGGACGAAGAAGGUAGCAAAGAAUCCGUGGGAAACGGCGGCACCAGUGUUGUCCCUUUCGUGGUGAAGCGUUUUGGAUAAGACCCGGUCGUGAAGGCUGCUUGGAAUGGUACCCGACCCAGUGUGGCAAGGGUUGAAUAAACCCAUUUGUUGUGUAGUGGGCCAGUUGGCGAAUGACCUAGUGCCAAAUAAAUUUGUUUUACCUUUUUUUUUGUUUUUGAAAUUACUUAAUUAAGUAAAAGUGUGUUUUUUAUAAUGGUAAAUCCAAACCUAACAUAUAUAUAUUGUGGUUUAGGAAAUUAAUUAAUUAAAAUAUAAAAUUGGUCUCACGUGCUUAGUAGCAAUAAAUUGGAGUUAAAAAAAAUAUAGAAUUUGCGUAACCUUAAUGAACCCCAUCCGUUAAGAGCAUCACUUCACUUAAGCCGCUUAGGUGGUGGUUCACCUUAAUGGACCCCAUCCGUUAAGAGCAUCACUUCACUUAAGCCGCUUAGGUGGUGGUUCACCUUAAUGGACCCCAUCCGUUAAGAGCAUCACUUCACUUAAGCCGCUUUGGUUUUCCGUAACCUUAAUGGACCCCAUCCGUUAAGAGCAUCACUUCACUUAAGCCGCUUAGGUCGUGAUUCAUCUUAAUGCACCCCAUCCAUUAAGAGCAUCACUUCACUUAAGCCGCUUUGGUUUUGCGUAACCUUAAUGGACCCCAUCCGUUAAGAGCAUCACUUCACUUAAGCCGCUUAGGUCGUGGUUCACCUUAAUGGACCCCAUCCGUUAAGAGCAUCACUUCACUUAAGCCGCUUAGGUCGUGAUUCAUCUUAAUGGACCCCAUCCGUUAAGAGCAUCAUUUCACUUAAGCCGCUUUGGUUUUCCGUAACCUUAAUGGACCCCAUCCGUUAAGAGCAUCACUUCACUUAAGCCGCUUUGGUUUUGCGUAACCUUAAUGGACCCCAUCCGUUAAGAGCAUCACUUCACUUAAGCCGCUUAGGUCGUGGUUCACCUUAAGGGACCUCAUCCGUUAAGAGCAUCACUUCACUUAAGCCGCUUAGGUCGUGAUUCAUCUUAAUGGACCCCAUCCGUUAAGAGCAUCACUUCACUUAAGCCGCUUAGGUCGUGGUUCACCUUAAUGGACCCCAUCCGUUAAGAGCAUCACUUCACUUAAGCCGCUUAGGUCGUGGUUCACCUUAAUGGACCCCAUCCGUUAAGAGCAUCACUUCACUUAAGCCGCUUUGGUUUUGCGUAACCUUAAUGGACCCCAUCCGUUAAGAGCAUCACUUCACUUAAGCCGCUUAGGUCGUGGUUCACCUUAAUGGACCCCAUCCGUUAAGAGCAUCACUUCACUUAAGCCGCUUUGGUUUUCCGUAACCUUAAUGGACCCCAUCCGUUAAGAGCAUCACUUCACUUAAGCCGCUUAGGUCGUGGUUCACCUUAAUGGACCCCAUCCGUUAAGAGCAUCACUUCACUUAAGCCGCUUAGGUCGUGAUUCAUCUUAAUGGACCCCAUCCGUUAAGAGCAUCACUUCACUUAAGCCGCUUUGGUUUUGCGUAACUUAAUGGACCCCAUCCGUUAAGAGCAUCACUUCACUUAAGCCGCUUUGGUUUUGCGUAACCUUAAUGGACCCCAUCCGUUAAGAGCAUCACUUCACUUAAGCCGCUUUGGUUUUCCGUAACCUUAAUGGACCCCAUCCGUUAAGAGCAUCACUUCACUUAAGCCGCUUUGGUUUUCCGUAACCUUAAUGGACCCCAUCCGUUAAGAGCAUCACUUCACUUAAGCCGCUUAGGUCGUGGUUCACCUUAAUGGACCCCAUCCGUUAAGAGCAUCACUUCACUUAAGCCGCUUAGGUCGUGAUUCAUCUUAAUGGACCCCAUCCGUUAAGAGCAUCACUUCACUUAAGCCGCUUUGGUUUUGCGUAACUUAAUGGACCCCAUCCGUUAAGAGCAUCACUUCACUUAAGCCGCUUUGGUUUUGCGUAACCUUAAUGGACCCCAUCCGUUAAGAGCAUCACUUCACUUAAGCCGCUUUGGUUUUCCGUAACCUUAAUGGACCCCAUCCGUUAAGAGCAUCACUUCACUUAAGCCGCUUAGGUCGUGAUUCAUCUUAAUGGACCCCAUCCGUUAAGAGAAUCACUUCACUUAAGCCGCUUAGGCCAUGGCUCCUUAAAUAUUCUUAGAAAACUCUUACAUAAUGACAUGAUAAAAAAAAUGUUUUAGUCAUAUUAUACAUACCGUAAUUUGUAUACUGUCACAUAAACUUCGUGGUGACUUGGUGGAAAGUCAUCAUUCCUGUAUGUGUCAGUAUCUAUGCUACUUUUUUUCUGUUUUACUUAACUAGCUUUGUGUCGAAUUUUUUAACUGUCUUUUAAAAUUUUUUUUUUGAGAAUCCCUUUAAAUAUUUAUUUAUUUUCUCUACUAUUACUUAAAUUUUCAUUUAAGUCAACAUUAUUAAUGAUAAAAAAAAUUCAAAAAACACUUAUUUAUGCAUGCAAACGUUAUAGAAAUUCAGUCAACCUUAUAAAUAUAUGUCAAGUAUAUCAAUUUUAAAAUUAUUAACGUAGCUUUUAUUAAAUUUUCAAUAUUCAUGUAUAUCAAUGGUCAAUUUCAUCUGCAUUUUCGUUUGUAUGGGCCAUUAUUUAAUUCCCUAAAAAGGCUCCCCCCAAAAAACAACCCGCCCAAAUUUUCCCUCUCCAAUUGGCUUCCAUGUGAAGCUAACUGAUGUGACCCAACGCUGUGCUUCUGCAAAAGCAUAUAUUCCCCUGCCAUAUAAACAGCUAUAAUCAGUACCAUUCACGCGGUUUUGAACAAGCUUAUUCUAAUGGGAAAUAAUUGUGCUGACAGAUUGGGUGGGUGGGGCCAUUAAUAUUAUUUAACCUAUUCACACUCAAGGUACUGGGAUUGUAUAUCUUACCACCUCCCAACAUAACAAAUGAAAACCUGAAGCUGGGAUACUGAACUGCUUGUCGUUUCCCCCCCCCCCCCCCCAUCACAUAAUUCCUUUUCAUCAUUCCUUAUAUUCACCAUGACUGGGAAAGGCAAUAGGUUUUAUGUUGUGUUCCGUGGGAGGAAUCCUGGCAUAUAUUUUUCGUGGGAGGAUUGCAACGCGCAGGUGUACAAGUUCAGGGACAACAAGCAUGAAUGUUACUCAACCCUAGAGAUGGCCCAGGCUGCAUUCCAAAAUUACUUUCAACAACAAGAAGUGAGGGAGAGCCCUAUACUUCACGAGGAGGUUCAUACUCAAUGCUCACAUGAAGUUUUCCCAGGCUGCAGCAGUGGGAACACACCCAACCUUUCUCAAUCCUCAAGCAGUUCAAGUACACCGGUG
rnacentral:lncRNA from 1 species